UACGUAGGCAGCGAGCGUUGUUCGGAAUUACUGGGCGUAAAGAGUGUGUAGGCGGUGCUCUAAGGUCGGUGUGAAAUCUCCCGGCUUAACUGGGAGGGUGCGCCGGAAACUGGAGUGCUCGAACGUGGGAGAGGAAAGCGGAAUUCCUGGUGUAGCGGUGAAAUGCGUAGAUAUCAGGAGGAACACCUGCGGUGUAGACGGCUUUCUAGACCAUUGUUGACGCUGAGACACGAAAGCGUGGGUAGCAAACAGG
rnacentral:rRNA from 1 species